UCUAUGCGUGGUCUCAGUCUGUCUGUCUAUCCUGUCUUCUGACGAUACUCCCUCGAAAUAACAAUGUUGUCUGUUCCAUGAGUCAAGUUAUAAGUUAAGUUAUUCUUCCUUUUCUUUUUCUUCCAUUCCCUUUUCCCGUUCAUCACCAUUUAUCAAACAUAUUACCUUCAAGCAUAUGAUUAAUACUUGGCAUUUAUAGUUCAUAAUGGCACUUGCACGCGCAACACAUAUUUGUUGUCUGAGACGAGAUCCGUUGCUCUCUGAAACACUUAAUAGUUUACUCUGAGUAUUGACGACAUUUCUUUCUUCACUUGUUGGCAUAUUUGUUUAAGAUUUUCUGAGGUAAUCAAGCAUUACCUUUCGCUUAAAAUGUCAUCAACUUAACCUAAGACCGUUGUCUGUUAGCUCCACCUAAAAAGGCAAGCUUAUUCAUUUGAUCUAGGCAAUGGUUUAUUAUUGGAAAUAAUUAGUUUGGUUAUGCUUUAGCUCCUCUUUGUAUCAAAUGAUCUUUUGAGCACUAAUUAGCUGCUUUGACUUGCAGAAUAGCUUAUAUGGCUGAUGUUUGAAGACAAUGGUCAACUGAAGCCCACAGCCGUGUAUAAAAGGUCAUUAUUGAGGAUAUGUUCUGUGGUAAAGUUUUAAAAACUCAGUUUAUUUGUGCAAAAGAUCCUUUGGAUACACGUGCCCUGGUGGCCUAGUAACUAGUUUUCAAAACUCCAAGGGAGGGGCCCUUUACCAAAGAGGAGUUGGAUGAAGUUCCAGACAAGUGGGCUAUUUACUUCAACGAUUGUGAACUACCCUCAGUGUAAUAAAUAGAGCAGGCUUGUAGUUAUUCGUGACUCUUACAUUAUUUUGUUAUUUAUCGAUUUAAUUAAUUACAUUUGAAUUAAUUCGGUAAUAUUAUUGGAAAUUUGAAAUUUAUAUCAUUUUUGAGAAUGUCAA